UCUGAAGUAUCAUCAAGUGGAGUUUUCCUGUGAGUUGCCCAGAUGGACUUGAAUGGUUGAAUCCUCAUUCAGAGUAUCUGGGAAGUGUGAGUUCAUGAGGAUGGAAUAGCCAGCAUUCACAAACCAAGAUGCUUCAAAGAGCCUUCAUAAGCAGUGUAUACCACUGCCUGAUACCAGAGGCAUCCAUACUACCAAGUACUCAGUGGACAACGUUUAAGGAAACUGAAUCUAAUACUGGACUCAGAGGCCCAUGAUGAAAUCAUGAAGCUGCAGUGCUCAGUAGCAAACAGUGAGAGACACCAUAACUUUGGUCAAAACCAUGUGAAUUUACUUUGAAAAGUCCCAUCCCUCCCUGCCCACAUAGAAGGAAUGUCUGCACCUUGUCUGCAUAACCUGUUUGUAUUCCAACAAUGAAAAACAUGUUUGAAAAAUGAAGCUGUCAAUUCUUUUGUUUA
rnacentral:lncRNA from 1 species